rnacentral:rRNA from 1 species
CAGUACGAGAGGAACGGGGCGCCGCGGCCUCUAGUGUACCGGUUGUCCGAUCGGGCAGCGCCGGGCAGCCACGCCGUGCGGGGAUAAGGGCUGAAAGCAUCUAAGCCCGAAGCCCUCCCCGAAAAGAGGCGGCCGUUGGG